rnacentral:misc_RNA from 1 species
GGUAGUAAAAGUCGUAACAAGGUUUCCGUAGGUGAACCUGCGGAAGGAUCAUUAACAAUUUGUGUGGGGUUGUUGGGGGUUUGUGAGUGAGUGGGGGUUGAUUUGAUGAUGUGUCAAUAUAUAUAUCAUCAACCAAACCCCCUUAUUCAUACCCAACUAUCAUCAUAAGUGCUCCAGAUUCAUUCUGGGUGCAACAAACAUAUAUAUAUAUUCAUGAUUGUGUGAUUAGUGUCCAUAAAUUUAAUAUCAAAUUACUUUUAACAACGGAUCUCUUGGCUCUU